rnacentral:tRNA from 1 species
GGGCAUGUAGCUCAGCUGGGAGAGCGCCGCGCAGCGCGGAGGUCGCGGGUUCGAGUCCCGCCCUGUCCA